CUGGCUCAGGAUGAACGCUAGCGACAGGCUUAACACAUGCAAGUCGAGGGCAGCAUAGAAGUAGCAAUACUUGGUGGCGACCGGCGCACGGGUGAGUAACGCGUAUGCAACCUACCUAUCAGAGGGGAAUAACCCGGCGAAAGUCGGACUAAUACCGCAUAAAACAGGGGCACCGCAUGGUGAUAUUUGUUAAAGAAAUUCGCUGAUAGAUGGGCAUGCGUUCCAUUAGGUAGUUGGUGAGGUAACGGCUCACCAAGCCGACGAUGGAUAGGGGAACUGAGAGGUUGGUCCCCCACACUGGUACUGAGACACGGACCAGACUCCUACGGGAGGCAGCAGUGAGGAAUAUUGGUCAAUGGGCGGGAGCCUGAACCAGCCAAGUCGCGUGAAAGGAAGAAGGAUCUAUGGUUCGUAAACUUCUUUUGCAGGGGAAUAAAGUGCAGGACGUGUCCUGUUUUGUAUGUACCCUGAGAAUAAGGAUCGGCUAACUCCGUGCCAGCAGCCGC
rnacentral:rRNA from 1 species